GACAACAAGGCCUUUCAGUUUACUUCUCCCAUUUUUCCCUUAAUAUUAUUUUCUUUAAAAACCCUUUUUUAUUUUUUCCCCUUCUUCAGCGUGUUCUUGUUCUUUCUCUUUUUUUUUCCCCUCCCUUGCCCUUUUUAUAUUAUUUUUACUUUCCCCAACCCCUGUCAUUUAGAAAUCACAUAAUUAAUUGAGCACAUCCUGUGCCACACGGGGCUGCCACGACUUUGAAGUCCCAAUAGAUCAUUUUAUGGAGCCGUGGGUACCAUUUUUUCCGAGGCAGCACCAGGCGCCAGCUCGAGGCCUUGUGGAAUUCAGCAUAUCCUACUCCAGGAAAGUGUGCUCUGAUUUAGCAUCAUGGAGCGGGGAGCUGUUACUGAUCCUGCAGCAGCAGCGAGGCAAAAGGACCCUGACAGGCUCUAUUAACCCUUAAAAACAAUAAAUGAUCUCAUCAGCCCCUCCAAGACAGAAGAAGAAAUAAUAAUGCAAUCAUUGACUUGGCUAUUUAUGUGAAGAACAGAGAGAAGACAGAAGCUGAAUGGAAAAAAUCUUAGAGUGAAAAAUAAUUGAGCUUGCACCACAUUGCCUCCUGCAUUUGGAACAAAGGGCUGCAAAACUCCCUAAAAACUCUUUAAAUCUGAGAACCUGAGUCAGGAACUUCUGGAGAUGCAUUGAAAAUUGUUAAUUUUCAUGUAUUUUUAGCACUUUUUGAAAAGACAACCAGCAUCACUCGGGGUGGUUUUCUAGAACUGUGCAGAAUGAUUAUCUUCCCUCUGGAAUGAUGGGAAUUCUGUCACUGGAAAGAAGAGAAAUGUGAUUUUUUGGUACAGAUAUUUCAGCCAUCUCCUGACAUCUGAUGGGAAAUCCCACUCCUGCCUGUGAAUCCAUAAAAGCUUUUCAAAAUCCUGUAGGAAAAAAAAUAAAAUCAUCUUAUUCUCCAUGAAAUUCUGAACAGUUUAAAGAUGAUUUCUGGGCAUAUUUAUGGUUCAUUUUAUAGAGCUUCUUUAAUUUCAUGGCUGCUUGGGGUCUUAUUCAAAAUCCCACGUUGGAAAUGAAAAAUUUCCAUUGUUUCCGAUGAAGCAGUGGAGAAACUUUCAGUGGGACUGAAAAUGGGAAUCAAUUCAUUCCAAAAUCCCUGAGGUUCAUUUUAAAAGUCUUGUGAGCAGAAAUUGCUCUGUCUGUGGGGCAAACUCAUUAAAUUCCUUGUCUUGUGCCUUGUAUUUUCAUCCUGAGCUGGAUAAACAGGCAGGAGAAUCCUCAUUUUAUAUUCAAAUGCUCUCCAAAAUGAUGCCAGCAGGAAAAAGGGUGAAUUGAACAGGGUUGGAAUUAAAAUUGGAGAUCUCCAGUCAUUCAUAAUCCUCUAAAAACUGCUUUAUAUAGUGAAUAUUUGAUGAUGCCAUUAAAUAAAUUUUUAUUUAUAUUUUUAUAUUUAGAUAUUUUUGUAUUUGUCAUUCUGUUUUAGACAGAUAUUUAGUGUAAGUUAUUCCAGUUUUCUGCCUCUCUCCCUUUUUUCUCCCUUCCCUUCUGGAAAACUCACACCUUCACUAAAAGUGAGGAAUACAUUGAAAUUUAUGCUCUCUUAAUUUGAAUCCUGCUUACUAAUUACUCUCCUAAUUUGGAUCCUUUGUAGGAUGACAAAAAUAAUGAUGGCUCUUCCUCUUGAGCUGCUUUUCCCUGGAUUGGGAAUGGAUCCUGCAGCCACAGAGGGAUUGCUCUGAUUUUUGCAGGGCAGAAAUGGAACCCAAACCAGCCCAUCCUGUGUUUGUGCUUUCUCAGCACAGGGGAUGUGACAGCUCUGGAACACCUGAAAGGGCUCUGGGUGCUGCAGGAUCUUCUGUCCUCAUGUAAGGGCUUCCACAUCACAGCAUCAGCCUGAAAAAUAAUCCUGAACCAAGAAAUCGCAGUGAGGGAGGAGCAGAAGGAAGGAGGCCGCAAAUGGUGCUCACAAAUGGACAAUUUCCAGCAGUGCAACCCUCCCAAAUGUCCCAGCCUGGCCCUCCUGUUUCAUUUCAGACUCUGAAUUCAGAAACCCAUCCAUCUUUUCAUCAGGUCAUUUUUGCAGGCAAGUGAAAAUAAAGGGCAGUGCCUUGGUGAAAGCUGUGUACAAGAUAACCAAAGCAAAAUGUGCUUUUAUAAAUGACUGUGUCAUGCUGCCUGCUUUGGAAGGAUAUUUCGUGUGACUUAUCCCAGAUUUCUGCUUUUUCCCCUAUUUUCUCCCUUUCCUUGGCUCUCCUCUUCUGGAAAACCUCACACAUUCCCUAGAAAUGGAGAAUAUCAGGAGUUUCAUGCUCUCCUAAUUUGAAUCUACUUGCAGCAGGAUGAGAACAAUAAUUCCAGGUUCUCUGAAUGGUGGCUCAGCUUAGACCUGUGUUACCCUGAUGCCUUUUCCUUGCUCUUAAAAUUAAAAGCUAGACACAGUUAAGGGAUAAAGGUUUUUUAUUUCAGCAUUUCAAUGGUGUAAUAAUUUGUUAAGGUGGAGUAUAUAGAAAUGUAUAUUUAUGAUGUGUUGCAUAUAUAAUUUUAUAGACUUUGCAAAUUAGCAUAUUUGACAAAGGGGUUUAAACGAGUAGUGUGACAUCUCUUUAUCUUAACGCAUUUCUUAAAGAUGGAUUUAUUUUUAAUUUAUAAGAUAUGCUCUAGAGCGGGCUUUGGUUUUUUAAGAUAUCUUUGGCUUUUAAUUGUGAGGCUUUUAGGAUAUUUGGUUUUCUGGCUUAAUAGAAUAUUAGUAUUAUGUAAAGAUAUUUGACUUAAAGAAUGACAAGUAUGUAUGUUAAGGUAUCUACAUACCUUAUU